GCGGGAAUAGCUCAGUGGUAGAGCGCUUCCUUGCCAAGGAAGAGGCCGCGGGUUCGAACCCCGUUUCCCGCUCCA
rnacentral:tRNA from 1 species